AGUGAACGCUGGCGGUAGGCCUAACACAUGCAAGUCGAACGGCAGCACAGUAAGAGCUUGCUCUUACGGGUGGCGAGUGGCGGACGGGUGAGGAAUACAUCGGAAUCUACUUUUUCGUGGGGGAUAACGUAGGGAAACUUACGCUAAUACAGCAUACGACCUACGGGUGAAAGCAGGGGAUCUUCGGACCUUGCGCGAUUGAAUGAGCCGAUGUCGGAUUAGCUAGUUGGCGGGGUAAAGGCCCACCAAGGCGACGAUCCGUAGCUGGUCUGAGAGGAUGAACAGCCACACUGGAACUGAGACACGUUCCAGACUCCUACGGGAGGCAGCAGUGGGGAAUAUUGGACAAUGGGCGCAAGCCUGAUCCAGCCAUACCGCGUGGGUGAAGAAGGCCUUCGGGUUGGAAAGCCCUUUUGUUGGGAAAGAAAAGCAGCAGGUUAAUACCCCGCUGUUCUGACGGUACCCAAAGAAUAAGCACCGGCUAACUUCGUG
rnacentral:rRNA from 1 species